rnacentral:lncRNA from 1 species
GGAUCGAAAUGUGACUUGGAUAGCAGAGUCUGCUACUACGUGUCAUAUAAGACAACUGUGAUAUUGUGGUGCAAAGGUGUUGAUUUUGGCUGGAAAAACCUGGUUCAAAACCUGGACUAACCAUGAAACCACUGGGAAAACCUUGAGGCAGCCAUUGCAACUGCCCUUGUGAAGACCCUUGUGAGAGCACCGUGGAGGACAGCUGGGAUGCUUAUAAAAUACAGUGCAAAAAGAGCUCUAUCAAAUAAUUGUUAUAGCAAGAAAGAAGUCUUUGUGUGCAAGGAUCAGCGCAAAGUAUUGGGCAUCAUUUUAAAAACUCAAGUAAGUUCCUUUGUCCAGAAGUGGCGAGCAAAAUGGCAGCCAUAAGGGCAAAGUAAGGAACCCUCUGGCCAAAGAGGCAGUCUGGACAGCACAGACUUGUACCCUUCACAAGGAGACGUACGCACCAGUUCCAUGAAGGGUCACAGUCAUCGCUUUUCCCUUCGGCUGCCCUUCAAGGGGAUUCCGAUUCCGAGUUUUCUCUCCAUCGCUGUCCUCUUUUCUCCUGAGAGGAAUCUUUUGGCUGGGCGUGAGCGAAAGGCAAGGCACCGGUGCGACUUGCCUGGAAUUCCAGGUUUGUGGUUUUUUUGCUUUUUUGGGCAGGCGGGCAGGAGGAAGGAAGAGUAAAGGUCGCGCUCUAACACCGGCCCUUCUCCCGCAGGAAUUGUCCCCAAGCAGUCGUGUAAUGUUCGUCCUUGCACACGGUGACCCCUCACUCACCCGGCCCCCCAGCCUCGGCACAGCGGCCGGGACGUUUGCUACGUGACUGUCACCAACUGUCAUCACCUCCUCCUCGCCGCUAUUGAUGCAGGACUGGUGCAUGGCUGGCUGCGUGCUCGGGGCAUGCGCGCCUCGCCCUCCCGGCAGCGCCCGGGCAUUGCUCCUCCGGAGCGGGGACGGCGACCCCCGCAGGCUGGCCGGCUCCCAAGGAGCAGGAAGGUCCAGAGUCGCGCCAGCAGUGGCAUGCCGGCUGCGUGCUCAGCUCAUGGCCGCCCCGAUUGGCCCGCCGCCUGCACAGGACGAAGGGCGGGCAGGCGGGCUGGCUCGGGCGGGCGCAGGGGAGGCGCCUCGGGCAUUCGCGGGCCUAUAAAGCGAAGGGGCUGCCGCCGCGGAAGGCACCCAGCCGGGGAAGCGCCUAGCUCUUCUUUUCGUGCACGGAGUAGAGCAAGCGAAGCGGUUGUCCCAGGCUUCGAGUGUGUCGGCGAUCUCUCUCUGGUCGUUGUGAGGUGCUGCUUCUAGCUGAGCCAUGGAGACGAUGCAAGAGCUGAUCCCCUUUGCGAAAGAGAUGCUGAGCCAGAAGCCCAACCGGAAGAUGGUCAAGCUGUACAUGAUGGGGAGCAUGCUGGCCUUCUUUGGGGUGGUCAUCGGCCUGGUGGAGACAGUUUGCAGCCCUUUCGCCUCUGGAGGGAGUCAAGAGGAACAGGAGGAAGAAGAGAAGAGACCAGUUUCCCCACAGACCAAAGAGGAGGUUGUUCCUCAGAAACAGGAGGGGGCAACGUUGGAAAAGAGCAAACAGGCCUUGGCACUGAGGAAUUCAGUGAACAGGCAGCAUGCUUCCUAAGAAAACUGUCUCACGUCAUCGCGAACACAGUGCCUUGCAAUGCACAGGUGUGGACUCUGGAAGGCCAGAGAGCUUCUUCUGUAUGUGGGCCAACACAAAAGGACUCUCUACAAAAAAGGACUUGUUCUAUCUUGCUGCUAUGCAGCAGUCAACUCCACAGCCCUUUGACUCUUAUGUACCUGUUCUAUUGGUAUGAAUAUGUGAAGCUUGUAGCCUCCUGUACCUACCUAUGUGUAGGAUUAUUUUUUAUUGCAGCUAUAUAUGUAUUUUACAGAUAUUUUUCAUUUUAAAUAAACUAUUUUAUACCUGAUAUGAAUGGGUUCCAGUGUGGAGAUCUUGUGCUCCUCCAAGGGCAUUUCUAAGACUCUCCUUCAUCUUAAUUUCCUAGUUGCAGUGGAGCUUUGUUAAGGGAAAUUAAUUCUAGGAUUGGGGUAUUGGUUAGCAUUUCUGCGCUCUUUCAGUUGAAAAUGGGUCCACCAAUACAAUGGGAUUUAUUGCCAAGGAAAAUGUCUAGAUUAUUUUAUUUUUGAAUUUAUAUGCCGCCCACUAAUCCAGAAAGGAUUCUCUAGGCAGCUUACAAUAAAAUUGAUAAUUACCAAUGCUAAAAACAGCACCAUUCAAACCAUAAUAAAAUCACAAUAACAUUAACAUUAUACAUUAUACUUAUAUAAAGUAAGCAGGACAAGUAGGUAUCACAGAUCUCAACUCAGUUAUUGAAAUACUCAGAAAAGAAACAUCUUCGCCUGGCAUUGAAAUGAGACACUGUUGGCAUCAGGUGAAUUUCUUUGGGGAGCCUAUUCCACAAUUGAAGGUCGACCACCAAGAAGGCCCUUCAUCUAUUCACAGAGCCUUUCACCUCCUUAAGGGAUUUACCAGAUGUUAAUGGGUGGGCAGGCAUAUAAUAUAAUUGGGACAGCAGUGUUAUAAGGCCAGACUCUUGAUCUCUUUCUGAAUUGACACACACAUAGGAAUGCUUGUUUGCUUUCCAAAUAGUAGGAUAUAUUGGGGAAGGGGAAACUAACUGAAAUAAAGUUGGUGGGAGGCACAGAAUAUGAUGGAGAUAAGAGGAAAAUUGGAUAAAGCUUAGUGGGUAAGCAACAGUAUAUAAUGUUGCUUGCUAUGUAUAUACAAUAUACAAAGUGUAUCUGCUGCACAGGAAGGGAGCUGAAACCUCUA